UACGUAGGGGGCAAGCGUUGUCCGGAAUCAUUGGGCGUAAAGAGCGUGUAGGCGGCUCGGUAAGUCCGCUGUGAAAGUCCAGGGCUCAACCCUGGAAUGCCGGUGGAAACUGUCGAGCUAGAGUCCGGAAGAGGCGAGUGGAAUUCCUGGCGUAGCGGUGAAAUGCGCAGAUAUCAGGAGGAACACCAAUGGCGAAGGCAGCUCGCUGGGACGGUACUGACGCUGAGACGCGAAAGCGUGGGGAGCAAACAGG
rnacentral:rRNA from 1 species